CCUACGGGAGGCAGCAGUAGGGAAUCUUUCACAAUGGUCGAAAGCCUGAUGGAGCAACGCCGCGUGCAGGAUGAAGGCCUUCGGGUUGUAAACUGCUUUUAUAAGCGAGAAAUAUGAUGGUAACUUAUGAAUAAGGAUCGGCUAACUACGUGCCAGCAGCCGCGGUCAUACGUAGGAUCCGAGCAUUAUCCGGAGUGACUGGGUGUAAAGAGUUGCGUAGGUGGCAUAAUAAGUAGCUAGUGAAAUCUGGUGGCUCAACCAUUCAGACUAUUAGCUAAACUGUUAAGCUCGAGACCGUUAGGGGUAACUGGAAUUUCUAGUGUAGGAGUGAAAUCCGUAGAUAUUAGAAGGAACACCAAUAGCGUAGGCAGGUUGCUGGGACGGUUCUGACACUAAGGCACGAAAGCGUAGGGAGCAAACGGGAUUAGAUACCCGAGUAGUC
rnacentral:rRNA from 1 species